GACGAACGCUGGCGGCGUGCUUAACACAUGCAAGUCGAACGGAAAGGCCCUGCUUUUGUGGGGUGCUCGAGUGGCGAACGGGUGAGUAACACGUGAGUAACCUGCCCUUGACUUUGGGAUAACUUCAGGAAACUGGGGCUAAUACCGGAUAGGAGCUCCUGCUGCAUGGUGGGGGUUGGAAAGUUUCGGCGGUUGGGGAUGGACUCGCGGCUUAUCAGCUUGUUGGUGGGGUAGUGGCUUACCAAGGCUUUGACGGGUAGCCGGCCUGAGAGGGUGACCGGCCACAUUGGGACUGAGAUACGGCCCAGACUCCUACGGGAGGCAGCAGUGGGGAAUAUUGCACAAAGGGCGGAAGCCUGAUGCAGCAACGCAGCGUGCGGGAUGACGGCCUUCGGGUUGUAAACCGCUUUCGCCUGUGACGAAGCGUGAGUGACGGUAAUGGGGAAAGAAGCACCGGCUAACUACGU
rnacentral:rRNA from 1 species